UAUACAUAUGUAACACACCUGCACGUUAUGUACAUGUACCCUAGAACUUAAGUAUAAAAAAAAAAAAAUUUGUCUUCUCAGAAAACAAAGAACAUUAAUUCUACUUCCAUGGUUUAAUAUGUUGCCCCCAUCUGCAUGCUCAUGGAUAUGUGCUUUUAUAUAUAUUUUAAUCAAUACUUAUAAUACUGUUGGCUACAUUCAAUUUAAUUACAUUUGAGGUAAGAAGUUUUAAAUUCAGUGAAUUCAGGCACUCAGAAUUUAAGCCCUCUGACAUCUAUUAACCAAAUGGAAAUAUGACAGGUGGAUAUUACAAAAAUCAAGAGAAGUGUUUAAUAUAAAUCCCGGACUUUUAGAUAUUUCCAGAAAUGUAAUGUAUAUAUUAGUACACAAACUUGAGCAUUUUCACAAAUCUUUGAACUCAAAUUCCAUUCUUAACUUUUACAGGUAAAUCAAUAUCCAUAUGUGAUUUUAAGCAGCUCAAGCAUCAGCUCUUAAAAACCACCAGAAAUGCUGGGGGCAAAUUCCACCGAGCAGCAAAUAACGGAACUGCAUCCAACAACCCAGCACAGGCAGAGCCUCCAUCAUUCUCCUGCCCCCACCGGAGCAGCACUUCUGUGUGACCGACAGACCCACAUCAACACGGCACCACCACCCAGAGUCCACAGCUCACACGAGGGCUCGGCCUGCUGCUGCUCACUCUGUGGGUUUCACAGACAUGGAACGGCAUGGAUCCCCCAUGAAAGCCCCAUCCGGAGUUGCUUCCCCACCCUACACAUCCCCCUAUGCUCCUCCCAUUCAUCCAUCCCUUCCCCAGCCCCUGGCAGCCAGUGACCCUUUUACUGUCUCCACAGCCUUGCCUUUUCCAGACUGUCCUGCAGCUGGACUCACACAGCAGGCAGCCUUUCCAGAUUGGAGACUCACUUAGCAACAUGCGUUUAAGAUCCGUGUCUUUUCAUGGCUUAGAGGUCCAGUUCUGUUUUUGUACUGAAUAAUAUCCCAGUUUCUGACCUAACACAGUUUAUCCGUUCACCUACUGAAGUGCAUCUUGGUUGCUUUCUAGUUUUGGCAAUUAUAAAUAAAGCUAUAAAGCUGCUGUCAACAUCUGUGUGCACAUUUCCUCAUGGAAUUAAACUUUCAGCUCCUCUGAGUGAACGUCCAGGACUGUGUUUUGCUUCUGUGGUCGGAGUGUUUAGUUCCACGGAAAACUGCCACACUGCCUCCCACAGCAGCUGCCCCACUUCCCCCAGCGAUGAGUGAGGGUCCUGAUGCCCACACAUCCACCAGCACGCGGUGGUGUCGGAGUUCCAGUAUUGACCAGGCUGCUGGGUGUACAGUGGCGCCUCGCUCUAUGACAUAAGAUGUGGGCCAUCUUUCCACGUAUAGAUUUGCCAUCUGUAUAUCUUCUUUGUUGGGGUAUCUGUCCAGGUCUCUUUUCCAUUUUUAAUCAGGUUGUUCAUUUUCUUGUUGAGUUUUGAGAGUUCCUUGCAUGGUUUGGAUAACAGCCUUUAUCAGAUGAGUCUUCUACAGAUACGUUCUCGUCUGUGGCCUGCCCUCUCAUGCUCCUGAGACACUGUUUUAUUUUAAAAAACACUUUAGACAGAAGAUGGACCUCCCAGCCCACCGCGGUUCUCAUUUUGGCCGUGGUCACCACCCUCCCAGCCCUGGUUUCCACCUUUCCACAAUCUGCUCGUCCUGUGGGGGUUUCUCCAUACGAAGUCCCUAACAUAUCUCCAAUGAUGGCAACAUAAAAGCAGGCAGUUUGCAGGUAGGAAGGAGCUGAUGGAGGCCGGAGCAGAGUGUGAAGGCCAGCGGCUUCAUCCCUCGGGGACAAGCAGGCCUCUCAGAUAUCCCUCUGGGUCACCUCCCAAAUGAAGUACCUGCCUUGGCCAUGGGCAGGAAGCAGGACUUGGCCCAGAUCCCAAUAUAUUUGACCUGGCACGACAUUUACAGGUGAGCGGCCGUAACCGGAAACUCUACUCUGGGAAGAACACAUUUUCAUUAUCAAGGCUUUAAAUUAAGAAACCAAAGAGCAAUGCCUGGAGUGAGGGUGCAGGGACUCUGCAUGACCCACAUGCUCGUUUCCACCUGGCACAAAGGACCCUGGAGUGAGGGUGCGGUGCCUGCUCUCAGUCACCAGCACACUCGUCGUUUCUACAUAAAGGACCCUGUGAGUCUGUCCCAGGACUUUUUAG